rnacentral:lncRNA from 1 species
GCAUGGGCUUGUAGACCGUUCACAGUGUCGGCUCUGCACUCCUGGCUUUUACUGUUCAGGGAUGGGCCUCAAUAAAGUUUCUGGACCCUGUUUGCCAGGUUUUUUCUGUCUUGAAGGAUCCCAGUCUGCCACUCCAAUGUCAGACAAGUUUGGAAGCGUUUGUCCAGCAGGUCACUACUGUGCAGAGGGCAGCGUUGUCCCUGCACCCUGCCCUGCAGGCACCUAUCAGAAUAAGACUGGGGGAAAAGGCAAAGAUGACUGCAAACCGUGUCCGUUUGGGUACUUCCAGGAUUUAUCAGGCCAGAACAAGUGCAGUCCCUGUCCUCCUGGGUACCUCUGCCUGUCUCUAAACCCCAGUCCCACUAGAGGAAGCUUUGUUGGAGUUUCCAGCCCUUUGCCUUGUCCUCCUGGUUUUAUCUGUCCCAGGGAGAGUCCAGACCAUUUGCCUCUCCCGUGUCCCAAAGGCAGCUACAGUUCCAGCCCCGGUCUCAGCUCCAUAGGUAAAAACUUUUUAUACAUUUUUGCAAAUGCUUUUUAACUGCCUCAAUGAAAUGAUAGUUUGAACAUAUACAGUAAGUGGAGUAAUAAUAAAUAGUGACUCUUAAAGCUGCGAUCCA